AAUUUGCAAAGAUUUUAUCCUAGUCUGUGGCUUGCCUUUUCCUCUCAACCGUGUCUUUUGAAGAACUAUGUAAGAUAACUCGAGGCUCUUUCUGAUGUAUCUUCAUUGGUAAAUAGAGCGAGGGUCCUUGGAACACCUGAAUCAAAGCAGAUGUUGAUCAGAGUUGUUGGGGCUGGGUCUCACUUUUAGUAAACCCAGCCUGCUUCUGCUUUACACCUGAUCAUGUUUACUAUGCUCCCUUCCCCUGCACAGGUGUUUGAUUAUAAGGCUGGUAGAUUUCUGUCUCCUCAGGUUUGGAAGUCUGCAAAAAAUUCAUCUAUGCCCUUCAGACAUUUUGGCCCAGCUCUCCAGUAUCCUUACCUUAAAUCGCUUCAAAAUACGGCAAAUUCGUUGAAGCCAAAGCUCUAACAGAUCAAGCCAGAUCUUCAGCAAGCACCCAGAAUCAGAAAAUGCCCACAGGGGAAAGAAAGCAAUAGAAAAUAAGUGUCCAAACCAACACCUAAGAAGAAUAUCAUGGGAUAAGAGAAUGCAUCAUCCACAAAUGCUUUAUCAUACCCUGCUGUUUUGG
rnacentral:lncRNA from 1 species